UACAGAGGGUGCAAGCGUUUGUUCGGAAUUAUUGGGCGUAAAGAGCGUGUAGGCGGCCAUUCAGGUCAGCUGUGAAAACUCGAGGCUCAACCUCGAGACGUCGGUUGAAACCGUUUGGGCUAGAGUCCGGAAGAGGAGAGUGGAAUUCCCGGUGUAGCGGUGAAAUGCGCAGAUAUCGGGGAAGAACACCCGUGGCGAAGGCGGUU
rnacentral:rRNA from 1 species